GCGCGUGUGACGUUAGCGCCGCGUUUCGUCAGCUGAGAGAGAGAGAGAGAGAGCGUGCCGAGGCGUCCGUAAACUUCGACGACGAAUAUCCCGGGGCGACGAUAAUUUCCCGAUCGACACGCGUCUUUCAUUGCUUCCUCGCAUUCUCGUGCGAGCAUCGUGACGUUAACUGCGCGAUAAUAAUCGAUUUCUCGAGAGAUCGCGUAUUUUUAGGUUACGCGGGAGUACACGACGGAGUCACGUCGCACGUUGAAUCAAUCAUCGAAGCAUGCUCGACGAUCGCAUUCAUUUCGCAGGUGUCAGAAUCAGCUCGCGUGAUACGUGAGUAAUUUCGGCGUGGAUUUUCUCACGAAUAAUGGGAGUACGUGGCUUGCUGGAUGCGUCCGGAAAACCAGUUGUCUCGGAAAACAUUUUGGUGAACGAAGUCCGGGGCGAUCGACAAACAUGUCAAUACGGAUGUACCAAAUGUUACGAAGGACGUCAAAAUCAAUUGUGGCACUUCCGAGCCGAAAAUCCGCUCGGUCACCGGUCCGCUCGGUUCAUUCACUGUAACGCCUAUUUCUACCACCAUAGUUUAUAUCUAAUCGACAAUUAACUCAAUGGAAUCGGCCAAUCGCAUCGAUCGAUUCGGCUGAUUCGCCGAUGCGAUCGGUCGAUUUUUUCGAAUUAGUCGUCGACUAGAUUUAAACCGUGACAGUAGAUGGGAUCAGGCCUGUUUUUGUCUUCGAUUCAGUGGAAUAUCGAUGAUCAGAGAGAAAGCAAUUGCCUCGCGCAGGAAGCAGAAAUCUAUUGCCACGGGUAAGACGCAGAAGAUGAUGACGGGCUUGAUAAACAACCUGAUAAAGCACAGAGCGAGGUGAAAACUUGGUUCUCAAAUCAAGAUUCCAAGGUGGAUUCCAGUAAUGGACCGACGCAAAUAACGAUGAAUUGAAUAGAUGACACGCGAAAGACAUGCGACAACCUUUGGAGACCGCCGAGAAGGAAACGGUCGGCAAAACACUGUUAUUGGAGGAGUUGGAUAAAUUGCUAACUGAGCGAGGAAUCGACACGAAAGGCGGAGACGCAGCGUUCCGGGUGCUACCGCGGAUGACACACAACCCGAUUAAUCUACAUCACCGGUCGGCAGCGAUUGCACCAUCAGGUGUGGCUGACAUCGGACCUGUCGCUGCACUGGAAAUAUUAGUCGCGUUUUCCGCCGAAUGGGAACAACUUGCCGCUGCCGCACGGGUUACAUAAUUUCUGCUCGUGGAUGAAAAACGGAAGAAUCCCCGGCUUCCGGAGAGGCUUGCGCGAUAAAUCGCAACAACGGACAAUCGCAAACAGAGCGUGACGUGAUUGAUUUCAGAUUUCCCGAGUCGAGAGAGUUAUUCAAGCGUGUCCCUUUCCCACGGUCGAAGGAAGCUUUUACCUUGCGGCAAACGUCGCACGCGCAAUGCUUCUUCGCGAUUCCGUUGGCAAGCAGAAGUUCGAGUGGGCUGAGAGACAAAUUCGGCAACACGACGAUAUACACCGGUACUGAGGUGAAAGGAAGGAGGAGUUGGAAAAUUUUGAAUUUACAUCUCGGUUAUAUUUGGUGAAAAUAAUAAAUAAUAAUGUUAUAUUAGGAUUAUAUACCGUUCAGAUGGGGCGUGUAAUAUACGCAAGUGUGUCCUGCUAAGCGCGAUCCUAAAUAAUUUUUCUUUUUCGCACGAUACGUGUGUUACCACUCUGCA